CUCACAGCGAGUGAACUGCUGGAAGCUUCCUGCCCAGACCUAAAGGCUCACUGUGGCUCUGAGCGUGCCCUGAUCUCCUCUCAAUGCACAGCAGUGGUGGGCUUACUGUGUGCUCCCGUGAAAGAGAUUGCUGCACUAGGCCUGACUGACCUGAGUCUCCAUCUGGCUCUUUCACAGGCAGUGAGAUCUUGGGCAGAACUCAACUCAGUCGGCCGCAGCCCCUUCCUUCACACUUCCAAGCCUUUCUUCCUGACAGGCCCUUCUCUGGAGGAGCCUGUUGAUCCUAGCCUGCCUGGAUGGCUAGUGUUGGUCUCUGGCUCCAAAGCCACUGCCACUGUGCUGGUAACCAACCUAUCCUGGUCCCUUCAAGUGAGCAUGUCCAUUCCUUCCUAGACCUCAGGAGACUCUUCCCUGGGCUCUUCAACCCCUGUCCCACCUCAACCUGCACAACGCCUUCCCCUGCCCCUCCUCCCGCAUCAGUGCUCCCUCCUCCCUCAUCAGUGCUCCCUCCUCUGCCACCAGCCUCAACAGUUGCUCCUGAAACAGCCAUUUUGCUUUAGCAACUCCUUUCACAAGCUCCUGUUGGCAAGGCUUCCCCUAUCUUAUCUCCCAUCUUCAGCAGAGGCCGAACCUGUGUGCCAAGGGAUACAAAGUUACAAGGAAGGAUGAAGGUCGACUAGAUCUCCCGACAUACCCUGCUAGACCUCCGUUUCCAAGCUUAAGAGCCAGAAUGGUGAUCCCAAGAGAUUUUAAACGCUCCCUCUAGGAUGCCACGUCUGACCCCCUCUCAAAUCAAGCUGGGACCUAAAUCCUGUACUCAGCACCAAGGAGCCCCCUGAGAGCAGCUCAAAGAAGUCCUCAAGAACUCCUGAUACAAUCCCAUCAUCCUGUGAGGCAAGUGCUGGGCCUA
rnacentral:lncRNA from 1 species